GAAGGUGCUGUACCCGGGGGCGGGCGGCGUGCACACCGCAGCCCGGGGCAGAUCGCAGCCCGCCCCGGGCUCCCCCCGCCUGCGGCUUCGGGCCGGCGGGGUCUGCUGCUAUCCUUGGCCCCCAGACUGGGCUCCCAAAGGGCAGUGCACCCGGUGGUGCACCCGUCCUUCGUUCUCAGUCCGCCCGGUUCCCAAACCUGCGGAAGAAACGACCUUACACCAGCCGCCCUCCCCCACCCGGACUACCUGGGAGCUGGACGGGGAAGGGCCCAGUUCGGGUUUCUGGAAAUCUUCCUUCCACUCGUGACCAUUCUCCGAGCGCCACUUCUCCCGCAACCCCUUUUCAGGCUUCCCGUUCGGUAAACCCGUUAGGCAUGCAUGCAUUUAUUUAUUUAUUUAUUACAUUUUGUAUUGGUUGAUUUUUUGUUCUUUUUCCUUUGGGGGGGUUUUGUUUAUUUUUUAUAGACUCCUGAGCUCAGUCAUCAGAAAGAGGGAAAUAGUAAAAGGAAGUAAUUGUAGAAUGGACCUUGAUAAAUACAGUCCUAAAGCAAGCGUCAUCUCAAAGGACAGGACGCGGAGCUCACCUCUUGGAUUUCCAAACAGGAUGCCUUUCCUCAGCAUUUUGCUCUGUAGAGCCCGAAUUUUAUGAAGAUUCCAGCCUGUUAUAGGUGUUCUCUUGCUCCAGUUUCGUGUGCACUUGAGGUCUUCAAAGAGGAAAUGCCCGAAUGUGGACCUCCAGCAACGCCCGUGCACAGCAAGCUAAUUUAUGAGAAAAGGAGCGCUCAGGAUUGAGUUUAAGACCCUCUUCUGAAUGGAAGAUUCCAGAAACCCCAUCCAAAGGCAGGAAGUUGAUCGGUCAGCUGAGUGGUGGGCAUGAAGAGCCUGCAAAACUCAAAACCCAAGUGCCCACAGAUGAUGUGUCUGGUUAGGAUCCCUUUCCCAAAGUUGGCACCAUGUAAAGUCCUUACAUUUCGGCACGUUGGUCCUUACAAGGUUAAGGGACAAAGGAGCUCCCUUAAGCUUCCUUUAUGAGGUGAUUAUUCCCGUUCAUGAAGAUUCUGCCUUCACAUCUCCAUCAUCUCCUCAAGGCUCCAUAGCUGAA